UACGGGGGGAGCAAGCGUUGUUCGGAUUUACUGGGCGUAAAGGGCGCGUAGGCGGCCACCGCAAGUCGGUUGUGAAAUCUCCGGGCUUAACCCGGAAAGGUCAAUCGAUACUGCGGGGCUAGAGUGCAGAAGGGGCAACUGGAAUUCCAGGUGUAGCGGUGAAAUGCGCAGAUAUCUGGAGGAACACCGGUGGCGAAGGCGGCAUCCUGGACCGGCAUUGACGCUGAGGCGCGAAAGCUAGGGGAGCAAACGGG
rnacentral:rRNA from 1 species